rnacentral:misc_RNA from 1 species
AGAAUAAAAAAUCGAGGCGUCGCUCUUUUUUUUAAGGGUGAUCGCGUCGGAAUUGAGCCGUCUUUCAAAUGUUAAUUCAUGUCAAAGUGGCUUGAAAUUCAUCCAUCCGGUACGAUUAAGCGUAUUUAAGAUCAAUUUUGUUCAAGAACGCGCGAUGACGUACCAUCUCAUGUAGUACGUUUGACCUGGGUCAUCAGGUUCAUUCGUAUACGAUACUCAAAC